GACUGGCCUCCGCCCCGUGACCUGACCCCCCCCCGGCUCCGACCGCCCCCCCGCCCCGUGUCCCAUAUCCCAAACCCCCAUGACAAAUGGUCUCCAUGAGGGGUUGCUUCGCCCAGCGCUGAGAUGUAGUCGUCUCGGGAGAUAUUAGGGUUGAGCUUCCUGGGUAAGAUUCUGCUGCCUGCAUUGUGAUCUGGGAGCCCAGACUGAGCAGCUGCUGCUCCCCCGGUGGGGUCUGGGCUUGGAAGUGACUUGGAGUGAAGCUUCCUGUAUGCCCAGGCAAGGGGGCGACUUGAGCUAUCCUGUCUUUCAUCUGCAACACAUGCUCGAUGAUGUUUCUCCCUGGGUUCGGCUGUUCUUCCCAACCCUCUUUGCUCGAAUGGGACUUCAGUAAUUGGCAGAGGGGCCAAUAGCCUUCGAGGAGGUGGCUGUGUAUUUCACUGCAGAAGAGUGGGCUCUGCUGGACCCUGCUCAGAGAGCCUUCUACAGAGAUGUAAUGCAGGAGAACUAUGAGAAUUUGACCUCGCUGGGUAAGAAUUCCUGUCCCCUUGGUUAUUGAAGGGGAAAGAAGAGUUGAGGUUCACAACACCCCUCAAUGCAACCUCAGUUGUGCCCUUUUUCAGCAACACUCCAACAGGCCAAUGAGACACAUAUGAACACUUUGCUCUGCCCUGCUACACAACACUUUGGAAACAGAGGACAGGAGCAGGAAUACACUAAGUCCAACACCUUCUCUUUGCAAAGGCAAAACUUGGUUAGGUCCAGUGCAGGGAACAGAAGCUACCUGGCCUGCACUCAAACACUGAGUCUACUGCUCACUAUCUAUCUCAGACUUUCCUAAUGUCACCACCCCUUUACCCUUGCACUCCAGAUUACUUUACUUACCCUCACUGAGCAUUGGAGACCAUUAGCACAUAUGCCAUCAGACUGCUGACAACCCUCGUGUCAAGAACAUACCCUUGUGCACCUUCAUUGACACUACCUACAACACUUAGCACUGAUGUGAGGAAUACCUGUUCCUUCAAGAUUCACAUGCACCUCUCUUCAGGCUAAUGUUGUGCCCAUCUUUAAAAAAGGGAAGAAGGAGGAUCCUGGGAACUACAGGCCAGUCAGCCUCACCUCAGUCCCUGGAAAAAUCAUGGAGCAGGUCCUCAAGGAAUCAAUUCUGAAGCA